UUUAUGGAGAGUUUGAUCCUGGCUCAGGAUGAACGCUGGCGGCGUGCCUAAUACAUGCAAGUCGAGCGAACGGACGAGAAGCUUGCUUCUCUGAUGUUAGCGGCGGACGGGUGAGUAACACGUGGAUAACCUACCUAUAAGACUGGGAUAACUUCGGGAAACCGGAGCUAAUACCGGAUAAUAUUUUGAACCGCAUGGUUCAAAAGUGAAAGACGGUCUUGCUGUCACUUAUAGAUGGAUCCGCGCUGCAUUAGCUAGUUGGUAAGGUAACGGCUUACCAAGGCAACGAUGCAUAGCCGACCUGAGAGGGUGAUCGGCCACACUGGAACUGAGACACGGUCCAGACUCCUACGGGAGGCAGCAGUAGGGAAUCUUCCGCAAUGGGCGAAAGCCUGACGGAGCAACGCCGCGUGAGUGAUGAAGGUCUUCGGAUCGUAAAACUCUGUUAUUAGGGAAGAACAUAUGUGUAAGUAACUGUGCACAUCUUGACGGUACCUAAUCAGAAAGCCACGGCUAACUACGUGCCAGCAGCCGCGGUAAUACGUAGGUGGCAAGCGUUAUCCGGAAUUAUUGGGCGUAAAGCGCGCGUAGGCGGUUUUUUAAGUCUGAUGUGAAAGCCCACGGCUCAACCGUGGAGGGUCAUUGGAAACUGGAAAACUUGAGUGCAGAAGAGGAAAGUGGAAUUCCAUGUGUAGCGGUGAAAUGCGCAGAGAUAUGGAGGAACACCA
rnacentral:rRNA from 1 species